rnacentral:rRNA from 1 species
AUGAACGCUGGCGGCGUGCUUAACACAUGCAAGUCGAACGGAGUGUACUCUUGAUGAAGAUUCGUCUGAUUCAGCUGUACACUUAGUGGCGGACGGGUGAGUAACGCGUGGGUAACCUGCCUCAUACAGGGGGAUAGCAGCUGGAAACGGCUGAUAAAACCGCAUAAGCGCACACUAUCGCAUGAUAGAGUGUGAAAAACUCCGGUGGUAUGAGAUGGACCCGCGUCUGAUUAGCUAGUUGGUGAGGUAACGGCCCACCAAGGCGACGAUCAGUAGCCGGCCUGAGAGGGUGAACGGCCACAUUGGGACUGAGACACGGCCCAAACUCCUACGGGAGGCAGCAGUGGGGAAUAUUGCACAAUGGGGGAAACCCUGAUGCAGCCGACGCCGCGUGAAGGAUGACGUAUUUCGGUAUGUAAACUUCUAUCAGCAGGGAAGAACAAGUGACGGUACCUGACUAAGAAGCCCCGGCUAACUACGUGCCAGCAGCUGC